AUCGAACGCUGGCGGCAGGCCUAACACAUGCAAGUCGAACGAACCUUUCGGGGUUAGUGGCGGACGGGUGAGUAACACGUGGGAACGUGCCUUUAGGUUCGGAAUAACUCAGGGAAACUUGUGCUAAUACCGAAUGUGCCCUUCGGGGGAAAGAUUAAUCGCCUUUAGAGCGGCCCGCGUCUGAUUAGCUAGUUGGUUGAGGUAAUGGCUCACCAAGGCGACGAUCAGUAGCUGGUCUGAGAGGAUGGUCAGCCACAUUGGGACUGAGACACGGCCCAAACUCCUACGGGAGGCAGCAGUGGGGAAUCUUGCGCAAUGGGCGAAAGCCUGACGCAGCCAUGCCGCGUGAAUGAUGAAGGUCUUGGGAUUGUAAAAUUCUUUCACCGGGGACGAUAAUGACGGUACCCGGAGAAGAAGCCCCGGCUAACUUCGUG
rnacentral:rRNA from 1 species